rnacentral:piRNA from 1 species
UCCACUUGUCUUGCCAAUUCA